AAAGAAUCGCUUGCACCCGGGUGGUGGAGGUUGCAGUGAGCCAAGAUCAUGCCACUGCACUCCAGCCUGGGGGACAGAG
rnacentral:snRNA from 1 species